AUUGAACGCUGGCGGCAUGCCUUACACAUGCAAGUCGAACGGUAACAGGUCUUCGGAUGCUGACGAGUGGCGAACGGGUGAGUAAUACAUCGGAACGUGCCCGAUCGUGGGGGAUAACGAAGCGAAAGCUUUGCUAAUACCGCAUACGAUCUACGGAUGAAAGCGGGGGGUCUUCGGACCUCGCGCGGACGGAGCGGCCGAUGGCAGAUUAGGUAGUUGGUGGGAUAAAAGCUUACCAAGCCGACGAUCUGUAGCUGGUCUGAGAGGAUGAUCAGCCACACUGGGACUGAGACACGGCCCAGACUCCUACGGGAGGCAGCAGUGGGGAAUUUUGGACAAUGGGCGCAAGCCUGAUCCAGCCAUGCCGCGUGCAGGAUGAAGGCCUUCGGGUUGUAAACUGCUUUUGUACGGAACGAAAAGGUGCCUUCUAAUAAAGGGCGCUCAUGACGGUACCGUAAGAAUAAGCACCGGCUAACUACGUG
rnacentral:rRNA from 1 species